rnacentral:rRNA from 1 species
GAGUUUGAUCAUGGCUCAGAUUGAACGCUGGCGGCAGGCUUAACACAUGCAAGUCGAACGAUGAUUACUAGCUUGCUAGUAUGAUUAGUGGCGAACGGGUGAGUAAUGCUUAGGAAUCUGCCUAUUAGUGGGGGACAACAUUCCGAAAGGAAUGCUAAUACCGCAUACGUCCUACGGGAGAAAGCAGGGGAUCUUUUGACCUUGCGCUAAUAGAUGAGCCUAAGUCGGAUUAGCUAGUUGGUGGGGUAAAGGCCUACCAAGGCGACGAUCUGUAGCUGGUCUGAGAGGAUGAUCAGCCACACUGGGACUGAGACACGGCCCAGACUCCUACGGGAGGCAGCAGUGGGGAAUAUUGGACAAUGGGCGAAAGCCUGAUCCAGCCAUGCCGCGUGUGUGAAGAAGGCCUUUUGGUUGUAAAGCACUUUAAGUGGGGAGGAAAAGCUAAUAAUUAAUACCUAUUAGCCC